rnacentral:rRNA from 1 species
UACGUAGGGUGCAAGCGUUGUCCGGAAUUAUUGGGCGUAAAGAGCUCGUAGGCGGUUCGUCGCGUCGGCUGUGAAAACCUGAGGCUCAACCUCAGGCCUGCAGUCGAUACGGGCGGACUUGAGUACUGCAGGGGAGACUGGAAUUCCUGGUGUAGCGGUGAAAUGCGCAGAUAUCAGGAGGAACACCGGUGGCGAAGGCGGGUCUCUGGGCAGUAACUGACGCUGAGGCGCGAAAGCUGGGGGAGCGAACGGG